UCUUCUUUCUUUCUCUUACAGUCUCCUCAGAGCUCAGUGACCUAAGCCAGCACUCACCAAAGCCAGCACCCACCUCCUGCAGAAGUCCCUGUAAGGAGGAGUGGAGCACGCAUAGCACUCCAUACUCACCUUUCUUGCAGUAUUUAUAUUGGAGAGGACAUCCAUAUGCAUAUCGUCAGUCAGCCUGACUCCUUUAUUACAGAAGAAAUAUGUGAUAGCUCUUCUAGGAAACACUGCUUACAGGAGUUGCUGGCACAUCUUGUGUUUAUGGACAUCCCACAGUGAAUGAACUACCCCAUUACGUUUCUUUUUAUUACUAUUUUUUAACUUUAAAAAAAAAAAAAAACCCAAACAACAGUGCUCUGGCCAGUGUCAGAGCCUCAGUGAAAAAGAGACAAACUGGAGGACAAGCAAGCAUCUGAGGAUGGAAAUGCUUCUGGUAUGGUCUGGAUGGUGAAAGAGGAGAAUAUGUUUUUUCUCUGUGGUAAGGAAUGGCUUGAGUCUCUUUCGUUAUGAAACUUUAAUGGCAAACCCUUAUAAGAAAACCAAACAAAGCCUCCCAACAACAUGAAAGAUACUCCAAAAAAGGAUGCUGAAGUUACACCAGUUGUGAUAAAGAAACUUACACCAUUGUUUGCUUCCACAUGUGGAAAAUAGCCCUUGGAUGCUGCAUAAAUGCAGUGCAACAGAAAAUGCCACACUGAGUAUAGGAAACAGAUCAGGAUGAAGAUAUAUGUAUUCUGCUAUGAAAUUAUCAAAGGUCUCCAAAGCUAUAGAUGUUGCUAUAAAUAGCUUGACAUCCUGAUUACCAGAAGGUUCAAAGGAGUCUUCAUAUUGGAUCCUUUUCCAUCUAAGGCCAAACGAGACUUCAGCCUUUGAAUGCACCUGGAAUGGUAAGAAGCAGUGGUAGGCAGCAGCAGUAGCUUCCCAGAGGUACUGAAAGGAUUUGUGAAGAAAUUCUUUCACUUUGAAUUCAGACGAGUUGAUGAUACCUGAAUUAGCAUUAUUUUAAAGAGUACCAUCCUUAUCACAUCCUUAGGAACUAAUUUUUCUGUAAUCACUUUCAAGUUCCAAAUUAGAAUAUUCCUAUAUUCAAUUUAUGCAGGUAAUUUUCCAUAAUACUAGUAGCAGUGACACAAUGCAAGUUUAGCAUAUGCAUUUUCAAUUUUCAUAAAGAGAAACUAAAUUUUCUAGUGCAGUUCAAAGCUUCUGGUAUUUCCUGAACUUCCUUUGACUUCCUACCACUAACUUGAGCCAGAAAGUCCAGUACAAUGUGUCCUGUGCUGCUGAAGAGUAAUUAUUUCACUUGUGCUAACCCAUAAGGGGGUCAGACUUCAUUAAUUCUAAUCUAUUUUAAACAGAUGUUAAAGGAAAUUAAUUUUCAAGUUUAAUUAAAACACGUUUUAAAUAUAGAUUAGCAAUAUCUAAGAAACCAUCAAAGAGGAGGUACUGCUCUUAUUGAACUUACACCCAUGGGACUUCAACAGAUGGAGAAUCAGACCCUUUCAUUUAUUCUUUAGUUAAACAGACCUGAUUCAGUGGUGUCUUACAUGACUGAUAUAUGAAAACCAGGCAUUUGUCAUACCUAUGUCACUUAAAAUUUACAACUGUAUAAAAACAGUUAAAAAACAUGAAAAUGCUUGCUCUCCCUCAUUUUUUGAAAGCACUGUAGUUUUUUGACAAUUAUGGUGGGAAUAAGCAAGUUGAUCAGAAAUAAGAGAAAACUGUUGUCAUUGUAAGGAAACCCACUUAUUCAGGUUGCACUUAGGAGUAUCUAUGCUGGAGAGAAGAUGGGCUUUUAAAAGCAUUUGCUUCUGUAAUGGGAAGAUUCAGUAUACUGGAAAAACCAUAGGUGGGUGGAGGUUUCUGCAUGACCCACCUGAUUUGCCAGAUCAGCAUGUGUUAGCAGUGUAUUACAGUGGCAGAACAGAAAGGGAAGUCUCUAGCUGAGUUAUAAUAGCAGAGGAUUUCUGCUGAAAAAUCAACUGGGAAAACCACAAACAGUGCCCAGUCUGAGCAUACAAGGCUCAGAAUACACUGCUUUGAUGGGGUUUCUUUCAUGGUUAUGGCACUGCAUUUUCUUACCUGAAGCAGACAGUACCCUUGAACAAGGCAGUAGGAUUGCUCUGGCGAAUAUCCUUACAAGUAGUGUAAUCAAAUGUCAUUGAAUAGAAGUUUUAUAGCACUAUUGAAAGUGUUCUGAAGAUGGAUAAGCAACAAGCUCAGUCCUGCCGAUUCCAUUGCACACUUGAGAUCCCAAACAAGUGUUUAAAUGUGACCUCUACAAGGCCUUGAAAUUGUGUGGCAGGUAAGGAAGUGUUUUAUUAGCUACAGUCCAGUGUACAUAUUUGUAAUCUUGAAACUGAAAGCCAGCAGUGGAAAUGACAGAAAGGAUUAGCACAGAACCACAAGAACAGAAACACAUCAUUUCCCAGCAAUAUGGAGAUACAAAAGGAAAACUGCCUGCAGUAAGCAAGCCAGACCCAACUGUCUGAUAUGUAUCACCUCCUAUAUGUUUUGAUUUUCCUUUAGCAUUCCAUAUUUUUUGUCUUUGUCUGCAAAACUUGCUUCAAUUAAAGAAACAGUCAUCUAUAUCCUAUCUAAAGGAC